AUGAAGCCCAGCUUGCUGGGUGGAUUAGUGGCGAACGGGUGAGUAACACGUGAGUAACCUGCCCUUAACUCUGGGAUAAGCCUGGGAAACUGGGUCUAAUACCGGAUAGGAGCGCCUACCGCAUGGUGGGUGUUGGAAAGAUUUAUCGGUUUUGGAUGGACUCGCGGCCUAUCAGCUUGUUGGUGAGGUAAUGGCUCACCAAGGCGACGACGGGUAGCCGGCCUGAGAGGGUGACCGGCCACACUGGGACUGAGACACGGCCCAGACUCCUACGGGAGGCAGCAGUGGGGAAUAUUGCACAAUGGGCGCAAGCCUGAUGCAGCGACGCCGCGUGAGGGAUGACGGCCUUCGGGUUGUAAACCUCUUUCAGUAGGGAAGAAGCGAAAGUGACGGUACCUGCAGAAGAAGCACCGGCUAACUACGUGCCAGCAGCCGCGGUAAUACGUAGGGUGCGAGCGUUAUCCGGAAUUAUUGGGCGUAAAGAGCUCGUAGGCGGUUUGUCGCGUCUGUCGUGAAAGUCCGGGGCUUAACCCCGGAUCUGCGGUGGGUACGGGCAGACUAGAGUGCAGUAGGGGAGACUGGAAUUCCUGGUGUAGCGGUGGAAUGCGCAGAUAUCAGGAGGAACACCGAUGGCGAAGGCAGGUCUCUGGGCUGUAACUGACGCUGAGGAGCGAAAGCAUGGGGAGCGAACAGGAUUAGAUACCCUGGUAGUCCAUGCCGUAAACGUUGGGCACUAGGUGUGGGGACCAUUCCACGGUUUCCGCGCCGCA
rnacentral:rRNA from 1 species